UUCAUUCCUGUUUUGCAAGAC
ensembl:piRNA 21ur-6339 ncRNA